UGGGGGAUAUUGCACAAUGGGCGAAAGCCUGAUGCAGCGACGCCGCGUGGGGGAUGAAGGCUUUCGGGUUGUAAACCUCUUUCGCUAUCGAACAAGGCCCGCUUAGGGUGGGUUGAGGGUAGGUGGAGAAGAAGCGCCGGCUAACUACGUGCCAGCAGCCGCGGUAAUACGUAGGGCGCGAGCGUUGUCCGGAAUUAUUGGCGUAAAGGGCUUGUAGGCGGCUUGUUGCGCCUGCUGUGAAAACGCGGGGCUUAACUUCGCGCGUGCAGUGGGUACGGGCAGGCUUGAGUGUGGUAGGGGUGACUGGAAUUCCAGGUGUAGCGGUGGAAUGCGCAGAUAUCUGGAGGAACACCGAUGGCGAAGGCAGGUCACUGGGCCAUUACUGACGCUGAGGAGCGAAAGCAUGGGUAGCGAACAGG
rnacentral:rRNA from 1 species